UGGGGAAUAUUGCACAAUGGGCGAAAGCCUGAUGCAGCGACGCCGCGUGGGGGAUGACGGCCUUCGGGUUGUAAACCCCUUUCGGCGGGGAACAAGCCGCUUCGGCGGUGAGGGUACCCGCGGAAGAAGCGCCGGCUAACUACGUGCCAGCAGCCGCGGUAAUACGUAGGGUGCGAGCGUUGUCCGGAAUUAUUGGGCGUAAAGGGCUCGUAGGCAGUCUGUCGCGUCGGGAGUGAAAACUCAGGGCUUAACCCUGAGCCUGCUUCCGAUACGGGCAGACUAGAGGUAUGCAGGGGAGAACGGAAUUCCUGGUGUAGCGGUGAAAUGCGCAGAUAUCAGGAGGAACACCGGUGGCGAAGGCGGUUCUCUGGGCAUUACCUGACGCUGAGGAGCGAAAGUGUGGGGAGCGAACAGGAUUAGAUACCC
rnacentral:rRNA from 1 species